rnacentral:rRNA from 1 species
AUUGAACGCUGGCGGCAGGCUUAACACAUGCAAGUCGAGCGGAGAUGAGGUGCUUGCACCUUAUCUUAGCGGCGGACGGGUGAGUAAUGCUUAGGAAUCUGCCUAUUAGUGGGGGACAACAUUCCGAAAGGAAUGCUAAUACCGCAUACGUCCUACGGGAGAAAGCAGGGGAUCUUCGGACCUUGCGCUAAUAGAUGAGCCUAAGUCGGAUUAGCUAGUUGGUGGGGUAAAGGCCUACCAAGGCGACGAUCUGUAGCGGGUCUGAGAGGAUGAUCCGCCACACUGGGACUGAGACACGGCCCAGACUCCUACGGGAGGCAGCAGUGGGGAAUAUUGGACAAUGGGGGGAAGCCUGAUCCAGCCAUGCCGCGUGUGUGAAGAAGGCCUUAUGGUUGUAAAGCACUUUAAGCGAGGAGGAGGCUACUGAGACUAAUACUCUUGGAUAGUGGACGCUACUCGCAGAAUAAGCACCGGCUAACUCUGUGCCAGCCGCCGCUGUAAAAC